ACACGACUGAGUUUGAUCAUGGCUCAGAACGAACGCUGGCGGCAUGCCUAACACAUGCAAGUCGAACGAGACCUUCGGGUCUAGUGGCGCACGGGUGCGUAACGCGUGGGAAUCUGCCCUUCGGUUCGGAAUAACUCAGGGAAACUUGAGCUAAUACCGGAUAAUGACGUAAGUCCAAAGAUUUAUCGCCGAAGGAUGAGCCCGCGUAGGAUUAGCUUGUUGGUGGGGUAAUGGCCCACCAAGGCGACGAUCCUUAGCUGGUCUGAGAGGAUGAUCAGCCACACUGGGACUGAGACACGGCCCAGACUCCUACGGGAGGCAGCAGUGGGGAAUAUUGGACAAUGGGCGAAAGCCUGAUCCAGCAAUGCCGCGUGAGUGAUGAAGGCCUUAGGGUUGUAAAGCUCUUUUACCCGGGUAUGAUAAUGACAGUACCGGGAGGAAUAAGACUCCGGCUAACUCCGUG
rnacentral:rRNA from 1 species